UUUUUUUUUUUUUUCCCUGGUCGUAACUCCUUGAUGGAACUCAAAUUAAGCCUGUCCUGUGUGACUUCCCUGAGACAGGACUCUGGAUGCUUGUCUCAUGUCCUCUGGCCUUCCUCAGUCCUUGUAUCUCAUCCCUUGGCUGUGUUUGCUUUCUCUCUUUUUGCUAUAAUAAGUCAUAGCUAUUGAGUCUGAUAAAAUGUCAAGUCCUAUGAGUCUUCCUAGUAAAUCACUGCAACUGGGGAUGAUCUUGAGGAUUCCUGACACAAGCAUUCACUGGGAUUUCUAAAAAUUUACUAAUAUGGCCAUACAGGCCUGUGCAGAUUCUCUUUGAGGUCAACAGGUCAUGUACUGUGCCAACUAUACAAACAGCUUUGUGUGAACAGUCUGUGAGAGACCCAAACAUUACGAUAAAAUAAAAAACACCCUGUGCUGUGUCACCAUCGUUAAGUCACACAUACUGAAUCUACAAGGGGAGGGGGGGCAGAGGUAAAAUGAACACCACAGUGAGACAAUGGCUAGAAGUGGGGAUGAUCAAAAAUGGGUGCAAAGUGUCCGACUUGGGCAACAAGGCAGAAGACGGUGACAUUCACUGAGAUUUUGAGCACCUCAAACAACACUAAAAACCAAAUGCAUGCCUUAGCUUCUCUCUACCUCACUGCCACCUCAAGCCCUCCUCUGUACUUUCUGCACAGUUGUAACAGAUUAUGCAGCUGUUAAAAGAGUUUGAUUUAUCCAACGUAUAGGGAUAGUCAAGAUAUACUGGCAAAUGAGAAAAAUAAUUUGCAGACAAAUGACAGCACUCUAUUCUAUUUUGAAGGAGUGCAUAGACCUGCCCUGGGAGAGGCAGUAAAGUGAUAAGGACAUGGAUUCUGCAGCCUGUCUACCUGACCUCCAAUCCCAAAUCCCACACUUCCUAAUCAACUAUGAAACAUUCGACACACGCUUUUCACUUCUUUGCGCCUUAGUUUUCUGAUCUGUAAGAUAGGGAUAACAUAAUCUGCCACAUAGAAUUAUCACAAAAAUUAAAAGAAUUAAUGUAUAUAAAGGUGUAGAGCAUUCAAAACAAUGAGGGAAACAUAAUAACAUACCAUAUCUGCUUGCUCCCAUGAUUAUUAGGAGUGCAUCCUCAAGGUGAUGACUGUGACCACAUGACACAUGCCUACAGGCUCAGUAUGUAAGAAUACUAACAAGGCGUGGAAGGAUGACCAGAGAGAAACAGUCAACCUGGAGACAAGGAUUUGGGGAACUCUGUAUUUCACUGAGCAUAAAAUGCCUCAAGGAGGGAAUUAACUCAGUCAUGGAACACCUUACAAGUGAGAGAGCAAGGGUGACAGAUUCUGAGCAGCACAACUGUUUAGCAAUAGAUGGAAGACGGUGCAGACCCUCUGAAGUAGGGCAGGAGCUCACAGAAACCAGGAAAGUCUCUCAAGUCAAAGUGGUGGGCAGCAGUAAAAAGGUCCAAUCAGAGUGUGUGUGUUGGGUGGAGGGGAGUGGGGGGGACAAGAGGGAACUUUGUGAGACUUGCUUAAGUCCAGUGACAGUGGUGGAGACCAUGGUUUAGUCGUCAGUGGGGUGAAGGGACAUGAGAAGGUGGGGACAGACAGUGGACAGAACAGUUACACAGGGUGUGUCUAGGAGAGAGAAGGGCAGAGCUCACUGGGCAUGUGGGGCAGAAAGCACCUGGGGUGACACUAGAGACCAGUACACAAGUAUAGAUUAAGAGGAUAGAAGAGGAUUAAGAAGGAAAAGUUAAAGACCAAGCAGUGAGGUUAUAAAAUAGGUCCUAAAAAAAUCAGAGAUUGGAGAUAUGUGUCCAACGGCAACGAGCAAGAGUGACCCUUGAAGACCUCCUCUGGGACUGUAACAAGGCUUAGAGACCUGGGGAAUUUUACACACAAUUUCCCAUGGAGACUAAAACCCUGAAUAAUCUGCAGUUUUCAGUUUUAAGAUCAGUUUUAGAAAUAUUUGUGGAUAACAGGAUCUUCAUUUCUCCAGAUAUGUUAGGACUUCUAUUCCAACAUCAAGAUAAACCACUAGAGAAUCACAACUUUGGACUACACAGUAUAGCCUGUUUUUUAAGAGUCCUUCUUUGGAAUUAUAUACUAGAUACUAGACAAGGAAAUAGAAAAUGUAAAAAAGAAUUAAGUAGAAAUUAAACUGAGAAAAAAACUGGGGCGCCUCAAUCAGUUAAGUGUCUGCCUUUGGUUCAGAUUAUGAUCCCAGAGUCCUGAGAUCGGGCCCCAUGUUGGGCUCCUUGCUCAGGAAGAGCAUCUACUUCUCCUUCUGCCCUGCCCCUCCCCUCACUCAUGUGCUUGCACUCUCUCAAAUUAAAAAAAAACAAAACAAAAAACAAAACAAAAAAAAACCCUAAAAAAACCUUACUAGAAAGCCAAAAGCACAACACAUAAAACUGAUGAAAUCUAUAGAUAAAAACACCGUAAAAGUCCUUGACAGAAAGGAUGCACUACAGACAGGGUAACAAUGGUGAAUAGCAGUAGAUUUCUCAUCUGAAACCAGGAGGACAGAGGGAGGUAACAUGUUUCUCUUCUACUAUAAGAACUGUAAACCCCAAGUCUUUUAUCCCACAAAAAACAUCCUUCAGGGAUGAAAGGGACAUAGAAACCUUUUUAGAUAAAGGAAAACAAAGUCCUUUGUCAACAGCAGACCUACCUCAGAAGAAAGGGUACAGGAAAUUUGCAGGGAAAUGUUAACAGAAGGCCUGGGUCUUCAGGAAGGGAGAAAGAACGGAAUGGUUAAUAAUAGAGGUAAACAGACCAUACACUUCAUGAAUUUUGUAGAAAAUCUUUUGACAGGUGGGGCACAAAUUAUAACAUCCAACAUAGUGCUCCAUGUAUAAAGAGAAAAUACUUAGAAUAAUUAAAAAUGGAAAAUGUUAAGGAAUCUAAUGGAAUUAAGGUUUCUAUACAUCAAAGUGCUAAAAUGCUGAUAUUAGACUGUGAUAAGUUAUGUAUAAUACUUAGAAUAUAAAAAUUAAGACAACACUCAAAAAUGUUAUAGAUACAUCAAAUGGAAAUCUAAAAAAUGCUGAAGUAACCUACAGGAGAGCAAAAUAACAAACACAAAACAGAAAAGCAAAAUAACAAAAACAACCAGAAAACAAGACGUACAAUAUAAAGGGAACACAAACAAAAAACAAAUUUCAUGUAACUUACCAAUUAAAAGAUAGAAGAAUGGAUUAAAAAGUAAAGUAUGACCCAACUAUAUGCUGUUAUAAGAAACUACUUCAAAUAUAAUGAUACAGAUAAAGUUGAAAAUUAUAAAGAUAUAAACCAUGCAAAAUAUUAAUCAAAACAUGCAGUAGGGACCAUAUUAAUCACUCAAAGUAUGCUUCAAAGGCAAGAAAAUGAACAGGUACAAAAAGGAUAUUACUUAAUGAAAGGGUUAACAUACCAAUAUUAAAUGUGAACCAUUUAGUGCACCAAACAACAGAGCUUUAAAAUACCCGAAACAGGGAUCCCUGGGUGGCUCGGUGGUUUAGUGCCUGCCUUUGGCCCAGGGCGCGAUCCUGGAGACCCAGGAUCAAGUCCCGCAUCAGGCUCCCAGCAUGGAGCCUGCAUCUCCCUCUGCCUGUGUCUCUGCCUCUCUCUCUCUAUCAUGAAUAAAUAAAAUCUUAAAAAAAAAUAAAAUAAAAUACCCGAAAUAGAAAAUGAUAGAAUUCAAAAGAUGAACAGUUAUACUUCAGGACAGCUAUACAUCAGAACUUCAUCAUCCCUCUCUUUGGAAUUGACAAAAAUACUAAACAGUUUAGGUCAGUAAGGUUAUAGAAAAUUUGACUACUACCAAGAGGACUGUCCAGACUGUGAAGGCUGAGAAACUGGGGCCGUUGGGUUUAAUAUUAUACUUUGUCAGCCAUCUCAGACCAAGAACUGAACACCAUCCCUGUUACAGGAAGAAACCACUCCCCCACUCUAGACAAGCCACCGGCUCAUAUAGGAAUGUGGAACACCCAACCAUCAAAGAAUAUAAACCCCGCCCUUUGCCCACCAAACUUGCGUACCAAUUCUGACCAGAAUAACAGGCUAGUUCAAACGGACCUUAGAGGGUGAAUCGUAAUUCAAUUGGUCACCUGCUUGUGGACCGACAUGACCAUGUAACUUUCUGUAUGUUAUAAUCCUCAUUGGCCACUGGCCCCUAUAAAACUGCUAUACCUCUUAACCUCGGGUCCAAGCCCCUGGUCUGUUGUGUCGGGUAUACUUGGACCCAAGCUCGAGCUUGUAAAUAAACCCUCGUGCGUUUGCAUCGGUGUCGGCUCCUUGGUGGUUUCUCCACAAUCUUGGGCACAACACAGACAUUUACAGAAACUCCACUCAAUGACAGCAGAACACACAUUCUUUUAGGAGGUCUUUUAGGAUAUUCAAUAAAUUAGGCUAUAUCUUAGGUCAUAAAUACUUUAACAAAUUUAAACAUACCAAACAUAAAAUAAACUAGAAAUCAAAAGAUAAGGAAAAUACUCCAGAACACUAGAAAACUAAACAAUAAUCUAUGAACCCAUUAGAGUUUCUAAAGAAAUCAAGAAUCAUUAGAGCUGAAUAAAAUGUAAUGAAAAUUUGCAGGAUGAAGUCACAAUGCUGUGAGGAAACAUUAUUGUACUAAAUGCUUACUUUAGAA
rnacentral:lncRNA from 1 species